UAACCUGCCUGGUAGCGGGGGAUAACUAUUGGAAACGAUAGCUAAUACCGCAUAAGAGUAGAUGUUGCAUGACAUUUGCUUAAAAGGUGCAAUUGCAUCACUACCAGAUGGACCCGCGUUGUAUUAGCUAGUUGGUGGGGUAACGGCUCACCAAGGCGACGAUACAUAGCCGACCUGAGAGGGUGAUCGGCCACACUGGGACUGAGACACGGCCCAG
rnacentral:rRNA from 1 species